rnacentral:rRNA from 1 species
CAGAGCCUACGGGAGGCAGCAGUAGGGAAUCUUCCACAAUGGGCGCAAGCCUGAUGGAGCAACACCGCGUGAGUGAAGAAGGGUCUCGGCUCGUAAAGCUCUGUUGUUGGAGAAGAACGUGCGUGAGAGUAACUGUUCACGCAGUGACGGUAUCCAACCAGAAAGUCACGGCUAACUACGUGCCAGCAGCCGCGGGAAUACGUAGGUGGCAAGCGUUAUCCGGAUGUAUUGGGCGUAAA